rnacentral:rRNA from 1 species
UACGAAGGGGGCUAGCGUUGCUCGGAAUCACUGGGCGUAAAGCGCACGUAGGCGGAUUUCUAAGUCAGGGGUGAAAUCCUGGAGCUCAACUCCAGAACUGCCUUUGAUACUGGGAAUCUUCGAGUCCGGGAGAGGUGAGUGGAACUGCGAGUGUAGAGGUGAAAUUCGUAGAUAUUCGCAAGAACACCAGUGGCGAAGGCGGCUCACUGGCCCGGUACUGACGCUGAGGUGCGAAAGCGUGGGGAGCAAACGGG